rnacentral:rRNA from 1 species
GUGCCAGCCGCCGCGGUAACACCGGCAGCCCAAGUGAUGGCCGAUAUUAUUGGGCCUAAAGCGUCCGUAGCUGGCCGCACAAGUCCAUCGGAAAAUCCACCCGCCCAACGGGUGGGCGUCCGGUGGAAACUGUGUGGCUUGGGACCGGAAGGCGCGACGGGUACGUCCGGGGUAGGAGUGAAAUCCCGUAAUCCUGGACGGACCGCGAUGGCGAAAGCACUUCGAGAAAACGGAUCCGACAGUGAGGGACGAAAGCUAAGAUCGCGAACCGGAUUAGAUACCCGGGUAGUCC